GAUAAGCUUCAAACCACACAUGUUGGACUCGGUGAGAAACAUCUCUUCGGGCUAAAAAGUGGGCAGCACCAUUUCCAGCUCUUUGGACACAACGAACAGACCAGUUCUGGAGUGUUGAUAGGAGGUUCCUGGCAUCAGCUAUGAGGCUCCCAAAUUUGCCCAAACAUUCCUCUUCCUUCUUCAGCGCCAAGACGAUUUCCUGGGCAUCCUCCAUUUCAACCGACUGGAACCCCAAACCCCUCGGCACAGAGAAGAUUGAAAGAAACAUCAUCAACUGAAAUCCAGUGUAUCUUGAUCUCUGUCUCUCUCUCUCUCUCUAUAUAUAUAUUUUGCUGUAAAAGAUUCUCUUGCUCCUGGUUUUUCUUUCAUACUGAAAAGAUCCAGUGUUAUAUCUAUAAGGAUCAGCCCAGAAUUUCGAUUAUUGUUCUCUAUGCGCAGAGCAGAUAUUCAAAACCUUGCAUUAGAAAAGCAAAAUCUCAACGUCUUAAACUACAUUUGAUUCUUUAGCCAUGGCAACCCUGCUGAAUUCACUGUCCCCUAUUACGAACCAAUUGCCAGAAACUACCAGAAAGGGUUGUGGGUUCUUCUCUCAAAUCCCAAAUCUCCACACAUUUUCUCUCAACAGGGGCUUUUCUAGAGUUUUGGCAUCUACCCAGAUCACCAUUUCUCCAAAAGACACUGUUGUUACUCUGCCCAACUGGAGGUCUGGGAAGAGCGACUCAAGGAGUAGGGAACUUAGACUAAAUGAUGCAUUUCUUCAUUUGGAGUAUAUGGCAGGGAAGGGCCAAAAGCCUGAUGUAGCUCAAGCAACUCAGCUCUUGUAUGAUCUGUGCAAGGCAAAUAAGAUGAGAAAAUCGAUUAGGGUGAUGGAGAUGAUGGUUACUUCUGGUAUUAUGCCUGAUGCAGCUUCGUACACGUACUUGGUGAAUUAUUUGUGUAAAAGAGGGAAUGUUGGGUAUGCAAUGCAAUUGGUGGAAAAAAUGGAGGAACAUGGCUUCCCAACCAAUACUGUUACUUAUAAUUCGCUCGUUAGAGGACUUUGUAUGCAUGGUAACUUGAACCAGAGCUUGCAGCUUCUGAAUAGAUUGAUGCAGAAGGGGCUGAUCCCAAAUGCAUUCACAUACUCCUUCUUGCUUGAAGCUGCUUAUAAGGAAAAAGGAGUAAAUGAAGCCAUGAAGCUAUUGGAUGAGAUAAUUGCCAAGGGUGGGAAGCCUAAUUUGGUUUGUUAUAACAUUUUGUUAACUGGGUUGUGUAAGGAAGGUAGGAUCGAAGAGGCCAUUCAGCUCUUCAGGGAUUUUCCUUCCAAGGGGUUCAAUCCAAACGUUGUGAGUUAUAACAUUUUGUUGAGGAGUUUGUGCUAUGAGGGGCACUGGGAGGAAGCAAAUGAGCUUCUGGCUGAGAUGGAUGGUGAGGAUCGCUCACCCUCAAUCGUUACUUACAACAUAUUGAUUAGUUCGCUUGCUCUACACGGCAGAACUGAGCAUGCGCUUGAGGUGUUAGAUGAAAUGAUGAGCAUACGGUUCAAGCCUACUGCUGCAAGCUACAACCCAAUAAUUGCACGUCUCUGCACUGAGGGGAAGCUAGAUCUUGUGGUCAAGUGUUUAGACCAAAUGAUUCAUCGUCAUUGUACUCCCAAUGAAGGAACUUACAAUGCGAUUGCUGUUCUCUGUGAGGAGGGGAUGGUGCAAGAGGCAUUCUCUAUAAUUCAAAGCUUGGGUAAUAAGCAAAACUCCUCCAUGCAUGAUUUCUACAGAAGUGUGAUUACAAGCCUGUGCAGGAAAGGGAAUACAUAUCCAGCAUUUCAGCUUUUAUAUGAGAUCACAAAGCAUGGAUUUACGCCAGAUUCCUACACCUAUUCAUCCUUAAUCAGAGGAUUGUGUAUGGAAGGAAUGCUAGAUGAGGCUAUGGAGAUAUUCUGGGUAAUGGAAGAAAAUAACUAUAGGCCUGAUACUGACAAUUUCAAUGCACUUAUACUUGGAUUUUGCAAAUCUCAAAGAACAGAUUUGUCCUUGGAGAUUUUUGAGAUGAUGAUUGAGAAAGGGUAUAUGCCUAAUGAAACAACUUAUACCAUUCUUGUGGAAGGGAUUGCCCACGAAAAAGAAAAUCAGCUGGCAGCCAAAGUUUUGAAAGAGUUGCAUCUUAGACAAGUUGUGAGUCAGAGUACAGUGGAGAGACUUGUUAUGCAGUAUGACCUUGAGGGUCUCCCAGUAUAGAUAACAUGAGAAUACCAUGAGUAUAGAAAGAAGCAAACAUGACCACGGGUUUUGUAGGAGAAAGAUUUGUUUAUUCAGUUUGAUAGCUGUGUACAAUCAUGAAUUUUGUAGAUUGGUCAAUGAAAGAAAGCCUCUUUUGGAAGAUGAUAUUGUAUGCUAUUGUUUAGAAGUGAACAACUUCAUGCACGAGGAUCUCAGCUCUGUGGUCCAGCUAGUUUCCCGUUGCUGCCAGUUGCCUCCUCCUCGCCGUUCACCACCUUCACCGCGUCGGCCGUCAUGAUGGUUUUGGUUCUCAGAUCUACUUUCCAAGCUGCCUCUGAAACUAUGAAUAAUGGUCUUAAUUAGUCCAUGUUUACCAUGAUACAAUGCUGGUACUUGGCUAAUAGAUACUGAAAUUCUGAAUUGCCUCAUUAUGGAUGGAUGUGAUAUUUUACUAUAUCCAGCUCCUAUGCAUUGCCUUUUCCUUGUCCUAAAUAGAAAUGCUACAUUUUAAUUUAUUAUGUUGACAUGAAAAAAUAUCACUUGCUUUGACAGAACUUGAUCAAUUGUUAGAAGAUGCACCCUUGCCAUUCAUCAUGCAGCACGCUGCCAAGAUUUUGGGUGUUAGACAGAGAGUCUCUUCAUUGAAUUCAAUUUUAAAAUCCAUACAGCACCGAGUUGAUAAUAUAGACCGAC